rfam:Human immunodeficiency virus type 1, Gabonese isolate VI354, gag gene, complete truncated cds.
GGCCGGGGGGAAAGAAAAAGUAUCAGAUAAAACAUAUAGUGUGGGCAAGCAGGAAGCUGGAGAAAUUUGCACUUAACCCCGGUC